rnacentral:rRNA from 1 species
GACGAACGCUGGCGGCGUGCUUAACACAUGCAAGUCGAACGGAAAGGCCCUGCUUUUGUGGGGUGCUCGAGUGGCGAACGGGUGAGUAACACGUGAGUAACCUGCCCUUGACUUUGGGAUAACUUCAGGAAACUGGGGCUAAUACCGGAUAGGAGCUCCUGCUGCAUGGUGGGGGUUGGAAAGUUUCGGCGGUUGGGGAUGGACUCGCGGCUUAUCAGCUUGUUGGAGGGGUAGUGGCUUACCAAGGCUUUGACGGGUAGCCGGCCUGAGAGGGUGACCGGCCACAUUGGGACUGAGAUACGGCCCAGACUCCUACGGGAGGCAGCAGUGGGGAAUAUUGCACAAUGGGCGGAAGCCUGAUGCAGCAACGCCGCGUGCGGGAUGACGGCCUUCGGGUUGUAAACCGCUUUCGCCUGUGACGAGGCGUGAGUGACGGUAAUGGGUAAAGAAGCACCGGCUAACUACGUG